rnacentral:rRNA from 1 species
UUCCGGUUGAUCCUGCCGGAGGCCACUGCUAUUGGGAUCCGACUAAGCCAUGCGAGUCGAGAGGGUUCGGCCCUCGGCAGACUGCUCAGCAACACGUGGAUAACCUAACCUUAGGUGGAAGAUAACCUCGGGAAACUGAGAAUAAUAUUCCAUAGAUCUAGGAUGCUGGAAUGCAUCUAGAUUAAAAGUUCCGACGCCUAAGGAUGGGUCUGCGGACUAUCAGGUUGUAGUCAGGGUAAAGACCUGACUAGCCUACGACGGAUAUGGGUUGUGAGAGCAAUAGCCCAGAGACGAUAUCUGAGACACGAUAUCGGGCCCUACGGGGCGCAGCAGGCGCGAAAUCUUCACAAUGUGCGAAAGCACGAUGAGGGGAUCCCAAGUGCUGGCACGUAAGUGUCAGCUGUUUCUUAGUCUAAAAAACUGAGUGAGUAAGGGCUGGGUAAGACGGGUGCCAGCCGCCGCGGUAAUACCUGCAGCUCAAGUGGUGGCCGCUAUUAUUGGGCCUAAAACGUCCGUAGCCUGUUUAGUAAAUGCUUGGGUAAAUUGUGUAGCUUAACUAUACGAAUACCGAGUAGACUGCUAAACUUGGGACCGGGAGAGGCUAGAGGUACUCCUGGGGUAGAGGUGAAAUUCUGUAAUCCUAGGGGGACCACCAGUGGCGAAGGCGUCUAGCUAGAACGGGUCUGACGGUGAGGGACGAAGCCCUGGGGCGCAAACCGGAUUAGAUACCCGGGUAGUCCAGGGUGUAAACGCUGCUUGCUUGAUGUUAGUUGGGCUCCGAGCCCAACUAGUGUCGGAGAGAAGUUGUUAAGCAAGCUGCCUGGGAAGUACGGUCGCAAGACUGAAACUUAAAGGAAUUGGCGGGGGAGCACAGCAACGGGUGGAGCGUGCGGUUUUAAUUGGAUUCAACGCCGGG